UAUAUAUAUACACGCACAUACACACCUUAUUAGUCUUCAAUUACGAAAGGUGUUUCAUCUCAAAAUAAUUUGUCAAUCAUAUUGAACUAGAAGGAACAUAUUGCAUACUUGAGCAACAACUGAAGAAUUAAUAUGAUUUUUUCCCUGCACCAAUCUAGAUUAUUAUUACAAAUGAUAAUAUGAGGAUGAAGAUGGUAAUAAUAAUAAUAAUAAUAAUAAUAAUCAAAAUUAUACAAUAAAAAUGUUGAUUUUUGUGUAUAUCUCAACAGCCAAUUAAUAUGAGAUUUAAAAGCGUACCUUUUGGUCCCUAAAUGUGGAAGCGGAUUGGAACGAGGUUAUGUUACUGUAGAGUCAGAGGAUAAUCUCGUGCAAAAUCCUUAUGCCACUGUUUGCUUAUGAUUGGAGGAUAAUUAUAAUAAAAGAAAAUCCCUUCAAUUAAAUUGCAAGAGCACAUUGCCUUUUUACUCUCUAGAUUUUCUAAUACGUUCUACAUAUUUUCAUGCCACUCACAUAUUUGUAUUUUAGAUACAAUAGGUAUGUUUAUAUAAAAGCUAAUAAGAGUGAUUGAAAUCAAUCAUAAGAAUUUAUAACUCUCAGAGUCCAAUUAGUCUUAUAACAAUCAUAUGGAACUUUAUCUAAAAUAAGCUCCUAGAUAUUUCUUUAUGUUGGGCCGAUCCAGCCUAUCAUGGGUGCUAAUUCCAACAUCUCCCACUCGCACAUGACGGGAUGACACCAUAUACAGAGUGACGAAAGUAAUUCGGCCCAAAGCCUUUAAUGCAGUAUCAUAUGGACAAAUGCAAUGUGUGGCCCAUGAACAAUAAGUUAGAACUUAAAUCUCAAUUGUAAACAAACACAAGAGAUUAGAUAUUUGUUCAUCAUGUAUCCUACAUUUUAUUUCCAUUACUUCGGUCCAAGCAAACUUAAUCCCUUAAUGAAAGAUAUGCUUGAUUCUAUGAACUCUAUGUAUCCAUAAUUGUAACUAUCCCCAUGUGAAUUAUACAACUAGUCAAUCAGUGAAUACAUGUAAGAAAAUAAAUCUUCCAAUCCUACUCAUAUUUUGAAAAUUCUAGACUAAUUACUUUCUUAGACAUGUUUCAUGAGCUGAAUAAUGUCAUAGCCAUGAUAACAUCCCAAAGUGCAAAAAUUAAUCUUUUACCUCAAGAUAUAGUCGACGAUCACUAGAUACUAACUGAGAUUUCAUUAUACCUCGAAAGAACUUACACAAUAAGGAAGUAGGGAUUCAUUUUUCUUCAUUUACUUUCUUUAUUGGUCACGAGAAGCAUGCAAGGUAUGAAUCACAUGUUACAGUUAAUUCUCCCUCAGUAAAGAGCAUAUGUUUAACAAUUCACUGUGCAAGUCAUAGUUCAAUCGCCACUAAAAGCGCUUAACUUGAGUUUUAACAAGCUCGCCUUUAUAAAGUGCUAAACUCACAUCUGACUUAAAUUAAGUUUCUACAAUAUUAGACUACAUCACAAUCGGUCCAAUAACUUACUUAAUGUGACCCUAUCUUGACGUAUUCAAGUCGACACAUUCUUUAAAAUUACAUAAGCUCCAUGACAAUAGACCACAUAUGUUGCUAUUUUGUAAUUCUAUAUGUCUUAUCCCAACUUGCUACUACAGCAACUAGGGUGACCUCUUGUGUAAGAAAGACAGUCUUAACCUGAUGACAUGUCUUUUUACGUUCUUAUAUGUGUGAUUAUGUUAGUUCCACAUUUUAAGAACUAAACAGGUACUUUACUGAUAACAAGGUAUUAUAAGAAUAUCCAGUGAUGACAUUCUUAAUCCACGGCAAUAAGCUUGCAAAUCACCAAAAGACCAAGCUUUUGACAAACAAAUAUCUCGAGUCACAUCUUUUUAGGGAUAUAUACCAUGUUAUGUAGAUCAUAUUAUAAAGUUAUAAUAUUUUGUCUUAUCAUUAUGUCUAUAAAUGUUUUGGAUUUUGAAGUACAUAAUGUCUUCUAUAUGUGAAAUCCUUUUGUUUAGUUUAUCAUUUUCCGUCAUAGUCUUUAAGUAGUUAUGACAAUCUCUAGAUAUUACAAAGAUCCAAACAAAAGAUUUCUCACAUAACCACUAAAACAUGCCCAUGGAUAUAGCUCCAACUUGGACAAAGCUAUGCAUGUUUAUUAUCUUACUACUCCAUGUAAUAGCACUAAUGCUACAAAAAGAUGAGUGCAAUUAUCUUGAGGUUAAUUUUUGCUCAUCUAGAUCACCAUAUCUAUUGGUGGUCAAGCACAAAUUUCCUCUCAAUACAAAGAGUAGUUCACAGUGCUACAAACAAUUUAUUACUUCUUGUAGGAUUGAAUUGGUAUUUUUUACCAAUCUCAUAGCAUAUAUCAAUUGUUGUACUCCCAAUAUACAUGAGACUCUUAUUGGCAUUGUGAUAAAGAACACUAUCCAAUUGUUUCUUCUUUUUUCCAGAGUCUAAUCUUCAUGCCAAGGCUAAGAAUUUGUUAUUCUAUAUAGAGAUAUCAAUUUGGCUUCUAAUUUGCCAUUUUUCGAAUUCUUUUAAGAAUAUUUCUAAUAUAAAUAUAACUCUAGCGACCGACUUAGAAAAUUCUUAAAAGAUUCUGUUUGGAUUCGAACCCCUAAAACAUAGACAACUUUGCGUAUAUUUCAUUAGAUUAUCAAUAUUAGUGAUUUUGACAAAAUCCAUUUUAUUUCUAGUUAUCCAAAAAUAUCCCCCACAUGCAUAAAUGCAAUGGCUAUCUUUAAUCAUCUAAGACUUGUAAUGAAAUAUAGCUCGAUGAAAUUUAAGAAUCCAUUAAUAAGAAGAUGACAUAGAAAAUAUACAUAUAUUAACUUUUUAGAGCAAGCAAACUAUACUCUUAAGGUCUUUAGAAAAAUUCUUUUGAGCAUGCUGAGUAUACGCUAAAAAACAUUGGCAAAAUAUCGAAUAGUUGUUCCAUAUGUAUAUUUCUUCUUCCAAUUCUCCAUUGAGAUGCAUUUAUAACAUUCAUUUGAUGUAACAACAAAUGCAUGUGUAAUGUUGACAAAAAAUAAUUGCCUUAAAGAAACCUCUUAGUCAAGAGUUUCUUUUUAGUUUACACCCCUUGGGCAUAACUUUAAACAAUCAAUCAAGAUUUAUCAGUGUACUUGUGCCUCUUGCCUUAUACGUACACAACUUUGUUGUUUGCAAUGGUUUAUUUAGUAAUUGACCAACCAUGUCCCAGAUAUAACUGUCAUUUAAUGACUCUAUCUAUUAAUCAUUGCUUUUAUCCAUAAAUCUUAAGCAUUUAUAGUGUGAGCUCCAUGCAAAUAAUCCUAGUUCAUCACCACAUUAUGAAAUAAUUGUGAAGAAAUUUCUUUCAAUCUCUGAAAGACGAUAUAGAAUUCCUUUUCAAUUAUUUUAUUGGAUUGAGUUAUCUCAUACAGUCACCUCAUUAGGUGUUUGCUUUCACAAGGAUCAAGAUUUAUAAGAAAAUCUGACAUAUACUCAAUUCUCAACUCUACAGUGUGAGCUCCAUGCAAAUAAUCCUAGUUCAUCACCACAUUAUGAAAUAAUUGUGAAGAAAUUUCUUUCAAUCUCUGAAAGACGAUAUAGAAUUCCUUUUCAAUUAUUCUAUUGGAUUGAGUUAUCUCAUACAAUCACCUCAUUAGGUGUUUGCUCUCACAAGGAUCAAGAUUUCUAAGAAAAUCUGACAUAAACUCAAUUCUCAACUCAAAAGUGAUAUCAUAAAAAGGAUAAUCCAAAUCAUAAUUUGGGACACUCUUUAUCAACUUUUAUAAUGCUUAGAGAAUUCAAAAUUUUAUCAUUUAGGGUAUCUUAUCUAGUCACUAUCUCAAUAAUUCAUUUAUGAUUGAACAUAUACCCUAUUUGCUUGUUCAAUGUAUCUUACUGCAAACUCUAGGUUUGCAAAUAAGUUAUGUUAGAAUGAUAACUCUAUGAAGUGAAAGUUAUAAUGACAUUUUUAGACUUAAAUCAAUAUUGCUUAGAAAGUAAAUGAUGCGUUUUUAUUGUAUUUUUAGUUACAUUUUCCAUGAACAUCUAUUUAAGUUUAAUUUUAAUAAAUUGAUUGUAUUUCAAAUCACUUGGUUCUCUAAUUAUGUGCAUGAUUGUAGGUGACCAAAAACCUCAAGUUUUAUGGAUGGAAUGCAGUUGCAACAGACUUGCAGAGAUGACAAAAGAACUUGGCUGUAAAGGAAUUAAAACAAGUCUAGAACAGAGAAUAUGUUAUAGCCGUGCUAUAGCAAUCCUAUAGCAACGACAGACUAGAUUUCAUGCGCGUUAACUGAAAGAUUACGAGAUGAAGUUUCCAAAAAUGGGAGAUACGUGGCCACACGGUUUUGGUUGCCCUAACUCCAAACUGUAAAAGGAGCACACAUGAAAAGAAAAAAGAGAGUUGUCACUGAAGGAAAAAUAACAGAGAAAAACAAAAACAAAAUAGAGAAAAAGAGAGAUUUGAGGGCUACAACAAAAGAUUUAAGGAGAAAAAGAAGGAGGAUCGCAAGAUCAAGCGGAACUCAAUUCCUCAUCUUAUUUUCUUGUUUUUAUUUUUUGAUGGGAAUGUAUUUGAUAGCUGAAAUGAUUCCAUUUACUGUUUUAUCGUAAAUCAUGAACUAAACUUUAUUGUGGUAGAGUGAUAAACAAGCUUAAUGGUUAUUUGACUGAUAUAUAUGUGUUGCUUUGGAUUUGCUAUAACAUUUUGUCUAGAUUUUACUUACUGCAAUUUUCUAUUUUAGCUAGCCACCCAUUUAGAGGAUAUUAUCUAAGAAAGUGUUGAGUACUAGAAAGUGUAUAUUUACAAAAGAGAAAAUCGUCAUUUUACACUCCAAGUCUGACUAACAUCCCUACUUUUAUGUAUUUAAGUCUCUUGUAAUUUAAUUAUAUAUUUUAUGUAUUUUAAACGGCAUCAUGAUCAUUUCACAAUGAACGAGAGAUCAGAUAAUAAAACGAACAGCAAUUUUGAACUCAGGACAGUCGACAACCUUAGAAGGAGUAUAAAAGGAUAAAACAGUAUUGUUCACAUAUACGGUACUAUUCACAGCACUGUUCACAUAUACGCUACACUGACGUGGCACUAACCGAUGACGUGGCAACAUUCGAUUAGACAAAUGAUGUGGCAUUAACUGCUUAUAUGCCGUUGACUGAUGACAUGGCUUGAUCGAUGAUGUGUCACGAUCUUAAUGGACUAAAAUGAUUAUGUGGAGUUGACCGGUGAUGUGGCAGUAUGUUAGUAGACUGAAACAAUAUGUGUACAAUACAUGCAUAUACAUGGAAUGACAGCCUUGAUGAUGUGUUCUAUCCAAUCAAAACUUGCCAUGUGGCGCAAUCCUGAGCAUACAAAUUAUUUUAAUCCGAUGGCCAUGAUUUACUCAGUACAUCUAUAAGGGAUAUUAUCCAUCGUCCACUAGUUUUUUUCCAACUUUUUCAAAAAUACACAAUUCUUUUUCUUUUUUUUUGCUGGAAUCCACCUGAAAUUACAUUUAUUUUCACUUUUCUACUUCCGUUUGGAGAUCGUUAAGAAAACUAACGGAAUAUUGUGUAAAUGGUUUUUUCACCCUCAAAUAUAAAAGAUAAAUUAUCCACCGACCACUUGUUUUUUGUAUAUUUUUUCAAAAAUACACAAUUUUUAAUUUUAUUUUUUUUGCUGAACUCCACUUGAAGUUAUAUUGUUUUGCACUUUUCCACCAUUGUGUCGUUGUGAAAUGAUAAUUUUACCCUUAUAAUGUCAGCAAAGUUCUAACGGUGUUAUAACGAGAGUGGACCAAUGAAAAAAAUGUUAACUUCAGGUGGAGCGCUGCAAAAAAGAAAAAAAAAUUUGUGUAUUUUUGAAAAACGGUGACAAAACAAGUGGACAGUGGAUAAUUUCCCUUGAAUUCAUUUUUGAGCUCUAUUUUCUGUAAUUCCUUCUCUAUCCUGUAUUUUUAGCGUAUUUUAAUAAAUUUCUAUUUUACCCUUAAUUCAAUUAUGAGUAGCUAAUUUUCUUUCAAACUUGAGUUGAAGGUGAAGUCUCAACAUGUUCCAUAAGCUUUAUUUGAUAAAUUUACUCUCUUCCCCUCUGAUUUAUGUGGAUGUUUUCACUUUUCGUCAACAGAUAAUAAUAAUCUUGUCUAGAUACCGCACUAGUAUAACCGGCUCUCUAGUACAAGGUUAUUAAUAUUUGGCACGAUAAGCCCUUAGCACAAUAUUGAUUAGAUUGUGGUUCAUAAGGAGUGGAAACUCCCCUCAUGAUUUAAUUGGCACUAAUAAGGAAUAUUAAGCCCAUGGCGCAUGUUGAGUGCGGAUCCAGAAACCCAAGCGCUUCAUUUGAAUAGUUUUCACUUUAAUUGAUUCCCGCCAUUUUCAUUUAAAUUCUAGGAUAAUCUAAAUCACCUCCACCACAAAUCCAACCACCCACUUAGAAAGUUAACUCUAUAUACAAUUAAAAUCCACUUUCUCGUGGAAUCGACACUCGUCACCAUUGAUUUAUUCUACAAUAGAUUUGUACACUUGCGAGUUCAAUAAAAUUUACAGAAAGGGCCUUAAAAAGUUUGAUUUAGUGGAACAAAUUAAGACAAUACAUGGUUUUAGAUUGGGUUUCUCAAGUUGAGUUAAUCUCGAUUUGAAUAAGGUCAUAUUUGAUCUAAAAUUAGUGAAGAACUAGAUAUAGUAAUUCACCUUGUGGGCCAAUUGAAGCCUAUAAUGCAUAAUGUUAUAUCUAAUACUAGCGUAACAAUUGGUCACUAUUAGGUUGCAUUUCGACAUAAGAUAUCCAACAGGGGUCGGCUGAGGAUACAUGAGGGAUUCUGUUUAGUGCUAUGGUAGAUGUUAUAGCAGCAGAAUCUUAAUUAGAAAAACAGUCAAUACGUUUAAGUGAGUUUAAUCAUUCAACUACUCUAUUCCCAUUAAGUUUGUCCUUGUGUUUUGCUUGAGAAUUUUCCUUCUAGCAUUUUGUUUAUUUGCAUUUUUAAUUUAGUUAGUUCAUUAGUUUCAUUAAUUAUUUUGUUUUAAUUGAAAUUGAAAUUACACUGUUAAAAUUACUAUAGCAAAUUCGAUAACAUCAAUCCAUGUGGAGACGAUCUGAAUAUUCAUCAAUAUAUUACUUGUUGUGCACACUUACACAUUAACACCUAUAGCAAUAGAAAUCACCCAACGGUAUUUUAUCUAUAACUUGAAAUAGUGCGUAAGUGACUCAUUAUAUGAGAAAUUAAUUAAUAUUUAAGAUAUAAUCAGAUAGAAUAUCUCCAACAACAUAUUGGAGAAGCUUAUGUGCUAUUAUUACUUUAUCAAUUAUCAUAAUGUGUUAUUCCUGAAUUUCCACUACUCCAAGUAGUGGAAAAUUUUAGGAAUAAUCAGUUAUUUAUCCAUAUCUUUAUCAUAUACAAUUCUCGGAAUUGUACAGAAAGAUAUAAGUAUUUUGGUUUUUCUUAACAUUAUCUCUACCAUAUCCAAAAUUAAUCUGAAGUAACAGAGUACAACUAAUGUAUAGGAGAUCAAAGAGAUUUGGACCAAAAUAGAUAGAUAUAUGAAUGUAAUCACUAUAGGCUUUACUUAUUAACCUUUACAUUCAUUUUACUACAAUUGUUAAAAUGGACUACUCGCAAUGAGCAUUUGGCGCUAAUUCCUUUGCCAAGUGGUUUUCCAAGUUGUUUUUCUUUAUUAAUGACUUUCACACAUACGCUUUAUCAUUACAGCGAACAAGCCCAAUGUGCUUUCUCUUGCAAACUUAGCCAAUAUCUUCACUACACUUCACUACAAGAUGAAGUAGUGAACAACUUUUCAUAAAACCUCUUUUGAAAAAUGGUUAAACAAAUACCCCAAAGUAAAUAUCCCAAUCCUAGAAGGUCAAAAAUAAAAACAAAGGUUUUGAUGAAUUUUCAUGUACAUUUGUCAUUGGAAAAAUAAAGACCACACAAUACUAACUUGCAGUUGCUUAUAUUCUUGACUUCUACAACAAGGAUUCUCCAUAUGUAUUUUUCUUUCCUUUGACAAUUACAAUAAAAACAUUUGUGAUCUCUAAUCACAAGGUAUGACUACUUAGUUUAUUUUUGCUUGAUGCAAUCACGAGUAAAAAAAACUCAAACUCAUGGUGCGUAGCCAACCAUAUAUUUUCCAUUUAUUUUCCAAGCUUUCUAACCUUAUUUGUCAUUUCUUAGUAUUAGUCACUAAGAUAAUCGAGUCCUUAAUUCCUACUAGGAGAGACUACCUCAUUUGUUAUGCUCAAAGCUUGAAGCUUUACAUAAGCCAAACUCUCUUGUUGAGUUUGUUUUAGAAGCAUUAGCCACCCUUAAGUGUUUAUCUUCUUUAAUUAGAGUAAAUCAUAUAGAAUUUAUUAAAAGCAUUAGCCGCCUCUAAGCAAUUAUCUUCUGUAGAUGGACUUAGUCAUAAGGAGUUAACUAGAAGCAUUAGUUGCAUCCAGGUGCUCAUCUUCUAGAUCUAAGUAAUACAUAUUUGAUUAGAAGUUUUAGUAACGUCUUGGCACUAGCCUUCAAAUCCCUAAGGUUAUGUGUUAAAUAGAAUCUCAUAUUGUCCCAGCUAUUGUGGACAUUUUAUUGCCUAAACCUAACAUUGUCAAUUACAGUGUGUCUAACAUAUUUAAACUCUUGUAGAUGAGCAACCCAAUACUUCUUAGACUCAUUAAUAAGGGCAUAGUGCAUGUUGCUCAGCAACAAGAUACACAUAUACUAGACUUUUGUAAAACCCCAUAAAAUGCUCCUUAUCUUCUAAAGAGAAGUAGCAUGCUCAAGCUCAAAAUCGGUGUUUGUUUAGAAUCUCAAUAGUCUUUCCAUUUAAUUUGUACACAACAUAUUCCAAAACAUAGAAUAAAUUCAGUUAAAGAGACAAUCAAUGCUAGCAUAAUAUUCAUUUAAUUCACAUACGUUAAUAAGGGUAUAAUACAUCUUAUUGAGCAACAAGAUACAAGUAUACUAGGCUUCUGUAAAACCCCAUAAAAUGCUCCCUAAAGAGAACUAGCAUGCUCAAGCUCAAAAUUGGUGUUUGUUUAGAGUCUCAAUAGUCUUUCCAUUUAACAUAUUUUACUACAACCAUAAACCAAAUUAUUGAAAAUUUAAUAUAAAGAUUGGAAUCGAAAAGUCAUCAAUGCAUCUGAUCAUCAUCCUUUCGAAUCAUUAAAUUAAUAUAAUUUUAUUCUAAUGCAUAAAAUAUUUAGUUAAAUUAUUAUUUAUUCCCAAAAUCUUGAUAAUUAUAGAACUCCCACUAAGAAUUUAUAAAUAUAAUGGGAAUAAAGCAGUCUUCUUGCAUCUUUUCAAGUGAAUAAUGCAUUAGGAUUACUUUUGGGAGGCUUAAAAGUGAUUGUGAAAAGUUAAAAGCUAAUUUUUGUGUUUGGUAAAUUUUUUUUAGCAAAAUCACUCCACUUUGUAGUAGCUUUUGAAAAGUAGGAAAGAAGUAGUUUUACAAAAUCUGAUUUUGGGAAUCACUUUUAUAUUUAAUACAAUUCGAUAUAUGUCCUCAGAUAUAAAAUAAAAAUUCUCCUUAUUAAUUAAGAAAUAAAAAUCAUUAACUUUAAAGAGAUUAUUAUUAUUACAAAUUAUAUUAAUAUAAAAAAAUAAAAAAAUUAAUAGUAUAAAAUAUUUAUUUUAGUUAUCAAUUAUUAUAUAAACACAAAAAAAUAUUUUAUAAUUGCGUAAAUAAAUUUUAUUUAAUAUUAUACUCAAUUCAGUCAUUUAUAUUCUUACAGUAGUUUAACAAUGAGAUUUACCAAACCGAUACGACUACUUUUAAAAUUCAUAGCACUUUCAAAAAUAAAUUUUAUCAAGGGUUUAACUAAUUCUUUUCAAAGCUGAUUAUUUCUACAAUACAGUAACAAUAAUUAUUUUAAAGUUACAACAGUACCAAACUGAUCCGAAGAACCUGUUUUGAGACUAUUUUUUGGAGACUCAAAAGUGAUUUCAAAAAGAUAAAAGCUAAUUUUUGCAUUUGUUAAACUUUUUUAGAAAUCACAUUGAGUGUUUAGUAAACUAUUUUAGAAAUUACUUUUUGUAAAAUCAACUCAUCCUACAAUAGAUUUUAAAAAAUAUGGAAGGAGUAGAUUUUCAAAAUCUGAUGUUAAGAGUCACUUUUAUAUUUAAUACAAUUUCAUCUAUAUCCUCAUAUAUACUAUAAAAAUCCAAAAUUAUCCUUAUUAAUUAAGAAAUAAAAUCAUUACUUGUAAAGAGAUUAUUGUUAUUACUAAUUAUAUUAAGAUAACUAAAUAAAAAAUUAAAUUAAUAAUAUAAAAUAUUUAUUUCAGUUAUCAAUUAUUAUAUGUACAUGAUAAACAAUAUUUUAUAUACAUGUUUAUAAAUGUUUAAAUAAAUUUUAUUUGACAUUAUGUCUAAUUUAGUCAAUUAUAUUCUUACAACAAUUUAACACUAAAAUUUACCAAACACAUACAACUGCUUUUAAAAUUCACAACACUUUUAAAAGUAAAUUUUAUCAGACAUUUAAUUGAUUCUCUCCGUAGCUGAUUAAUUUUAUAACACGGCUAACAAUAAUUAUUUUAAAAGUUACAACAUUAUCAAAUUAGCCGUAAGGGCCCAUUUUGAGGAUGACAUUGAGAGGCUCAAAAGUGAUUUAAGAAAGCUAAUAGCUAAUUUUGGUGUUUGGUAAUUUUUUUUUUAAAUCAAUUUUAGCAAAAUCACCUCAUCUUACAACUGAUUUUGAAAAGUUGGGAAAGAAUAGCUAAUUUUAAAAAGUUGGGAAGGAGUAGCUUUUCAAAUUUUGAUUUUGAGAAUCACUUUUAUACUUAAUACAAUUUCAUAUAUAUUCUCAUAUAUAUUAUAACAAUCCAAAAUUAUUCUAAUUAAUUAGGAAAUAAAAGUCAUUAAUUUUAAAGAGAUUAUUAAUAUUACCAAUUAUAUUGAGANNNNNNNNNNNNNNNNNNNNNNNNNNNNNNNNNNNNNNNNNNNNNNNNNNNNNNNNNNNNNNNNNNNNNNNNNNNNNNNNNNNNNNNNNNNNNNNNNNNNAAAAAAUUAAAAUUAGAAUUUAUGAAAAUAAAAUUGAAUAUGAAACCCUAGGCUAAAUUAGAUCAAUAUAGAAGUUCUUUGACUACUUACAUGGUUGAGGCAUUGAUAUUUACAUAAAAUUAGUUGCAAUCUUUUCUUUUUCUUCAAUAUAACAACAAACCUUAAUAAAUUAGUUCAAGAAAAUGAGUAUAUGGAUCAACUUUUAUAAGAUAUGUUUUGUAAAAUUUAAAUUCAAGUUUAUUUUAAGUAGACUACACAAUUUUGAUUUGUUUCACUUUCAUUCAUAUAGUUCAACAUGAAGAACAUUUAAAUAAUGAAACUGAUACUUUUAUUUGUUAGCUAAUAUAUGUGAUUAUCAAUGUGAUAUCUUACACUAUUUUAUUUUGUUUAAUUGUUGGUACUUGGCUAAUGUCUCAACUUGACUAAUGUCUCACUUUGAGAGAUAAUAAAUGUAUUGUGGACAUGAAAGUUGAAGGAUCAAAAAGUGGUGAUUGGGAAAGUGCCUAGUAGCAAUGAAACUUUGAAGUGAAGUUUCUUUUGUAAUAUAUAGUGGAUUUCUAGACUAUUGUUGAACUUUAUUAUGUUGUUUAUUUUUGUGGAUUUAUGUACUUAAGAUUAUUGUUGUAGUAAUAGUAUAUUAAUAUUGUGUCAUUUUUUUUGUAAAAUAUAUAAGGUAAAAUUACUUAAACCAAACCAAAGCAAACUAUAUAACUGAAUCAAACUAAAUUAAUUUGGUUCACUUCAGUUUGAUUUGGUUUGGUUCAGUUCUAGUGUUUGGUUUGUGUGUGGUUCAUAAACUCAUGAACUAAUUGGUUUAGAUUUAGUUUGCGUCUGAGCCUAAACCAAACCAAAUCAAAUAGUACCACCCCGACUAGGACGUUGGACUAAUGUCGCGGGAUAAGUGUAAUGUGCAACAAACUAAUACAACACUUAGACGACUUCUAGCACACAACUCGUUAAGUAAACCUAAUGAACUUCUCAAACUAUUGAAGCAAAUAUACUUGCGGAAAUGCUAGAGAGAAAUAAGAGCAAUAUAGCCAAAUAUAAUUUUAUUACUUACAAAGAGUAAAUUACAAGAGAGCUUGAGAGCUUCAGUGGUUGUGUGUGUGUGGUAUGGUGGUGUGCAAAUGAGGAAGGCUCACCCUUAUUUAUAGUUGUUGGAUGCUAGGUGAGGAAGCUCACUACAACAAAUAUGACUUGUUAUAGCACUAAUUUAUAGCGUUUUAUAUGAAAUGUCAUCACAAUCAUACAUUUUAUAGCAUUUUUUAUAAAAAUUGCUAUUAAACUAAAAUUUUAUUAGAUGUAUAACAUUACUUUUAUGACAUAUUUUUUAAAAGUUAUAAAAACGUUAG
rnacentral:lncRNA from 1 species